UAGAAGUGGGAGUUUAAGGGUAUUGGAAGGAAAGCACCAUCUCCAUUUUGGGAGAAUUUUUGGGAUUUUAGGAUUUUCUUGAGCUGAGAGUUGUGAGAGACAGAGAAAGAGAGCUUAGGGCUGUGAAAGAAAGGCUUGGAAAACAAGCAAAAGAAAAAGAGCGGGAUUUUGGGUUGUUGGAAGAAUAUGAGGAAAAGAUUUGAGAUUUUGUUGGUGGGUUGCGAUAGAGAGAAGAACAAGUCAGAACAGAGAAAGAAGAAAGAGCUAGACCAGCGGAAGGGAACCAGAGGAAAAAGGGUAAUCCAGCUGAUUUUGCUAGCUUUGGAAGAAUAGAGAAUUCGGCUGAAGCCUUUCUAGGUAUGGUUGCUAUGAAUCUUAUUUCUUUACAUUUAUGCUCUGUUCCUUCUCAUUUUCUGGGUAUUUUAUGGUUUUUGUUUGAUGUUUGAAUGUGGAUUGCCUAGAUAGUAGUUUGGUUGGUGGAAUCUAAAUUGUUUAUAAGUUUGCCAUGGUUUUGAUUCAUCUGAUGUUCAUCCUAUGCCAUUUUUGGAAAUAGCUUAUAUUUGAAUCAUUUUUUUUUGUUUUUUUUUUUUUGGAUAUUAAAGAAUCAUACUUUAGUUCUUUAUUGGUCUCACUGGUUUUUUCCCCAUUAAUUGAAACAUGAAAUAGGGUUGUGUUCUUUGAUCUUUUGGUUUAUUUUGUUCCUUUCUUUGGUGUUUUGUUUUUGUUGUUUUCUCCCUAUUUUUUAUUAAGACGUUUACUGAUUUGCCUAAAAGAUUGGGAUAAUAUCAGUAUAUUUUGAAUAUCUAUUAUGUCACUACAUUUUUGGAUAGUUUAUUUGUAUUUGAAUUGGUUUUAUUAUUGAAUUAGCAUGUAAAUGGGCAACUACUUGUAUCAGUUCCGAGAUGUACAUUUAUUUUGAAUUUGUAAAUCAUCUAUAUAUUAUUGAACUUAAUAAGCAUAUUAGUAGUGUUGACCAAAAGUAAUAUCUUAUAUGGUAUCAAAUUCUCUCUGCUUUUAAAGCCCUCGAUCCACUUUUUUCCCAUGGCCUUCUCUACUGCUCACGACUCCCCUGUCUCAUCUCCUACCUCACUUGUGAUUCUUCCAACCCAUUACCAUGUGCCUCAUCUCAUUACCAUCAAUGUGAUCGCUCAAGGCCCACUUAAAUUAACUCACACAAACUAUUUUGUCUAGCACCUACAGUUUACUUUCCUUCUUAUUGGCUACGACCUUGUCGAGUUUGUUGACGACACUCAUCCCUGUCCACCCCCGACUCCUAAUCUUGCAUAUUCUCUUUGGGUGUACUAAAAUCGGUUUAUUCUCAAUGCCAUCAUCAGUUCUAUCACUCCCACUCUCAUUCAUUUCAUUACCACUACCAUGAUAUCUCAAGCUUCUUGGACCACUCUCUUCAACACUUAUGCAAAGCCAUUCCAAGGUAGUAUCAUGUCUCUUAAGGGAAUCCUAGACAAUUUGCACAAGGGUGAGACAACCAUGAUGGAGUAUAUGCAGCUCAUUAAAACGUUUAAUGAUGAUUUUUUCCUCAUGAAUGUCGCCUACAAUAUUGACGAGCUCACUCUCAAAAUUCUUCAUGGUCUUGGUGACUAAUAUUCUUCUCUUGCUUCUGCAGUCAAAGCUAGAGAAACCCCUAUUUUCUUCUAUGAACUUCAUGAGAAGAUUAUCACCUAUGAAGCCUAAUUGAAACAAGAUUGGGAUAAGAAAUUAUUACCUCCAGUCUCUACUUAUUUGACCACCAAGAAUCCCAACUCUUCCCUACAUCAUAAUUAUAAGGCCAAUUCUUAUCGUCGUAACUUUUCAUCUAAUAACCCUCAUUUUCCUGUUAGUACUCACCAACCUUGCCCACCUCUCAAACCUUACCAGGAUUUUUGUUAGCUUUGUGGUAUUCAAGGCCACUCUACCAAACGAUGCUCUACCUACAAACAUAUACCUUGGAUUGCUCAUUCGUUCCUAUCUGCUCGGUCGAUAGCUCCCCAAACUCAUUUUGCUUUCUCGACUGCUCCUUCCACUAAAUGGUUGUUGGAUUAUGGCGCCUCUCAUCAUGUGAUAAGUGACUUAUAGAAUCUCUAUCUCCACUCUGAUUCCACUGGUCAUAAUGAUAUCAUGAUUGGUGAUGGCAAUAGUCUCCCCAUCACUCACAUGGGUUCUUUUACUCUUCAAUCCUCCUUUCACUCAUUUCUUUUACAUGAUGUUCUUUCUAUGUUCUCUAUGAAACACACCCUAAUUUCUAUUUCUCAAUUUUGCUUAACUAAUAAUGUUUCUAUUGAGUUAUUACCUCGCUAUUUUCUUGUGAAGGAUCUUCGAAUGGGGGCAACGCUUUUGACCGGUAGUUCUAAGGAUGGAGUAUAUGAGUGGUCGACUGUCCAUGAGAAAUCUAAAC
rnacentral:lncRNA from 1 species